UCUAGGCCGAGAGGUUCCGACCAUCUGACAGACUCAUUUGACCCUCCCCCUCGCAUGUUGACAACUGCCCCAACGGCCCUUCCCUUCCUCCUUCCUACUCAUGGUAAAAAUGUAGAGUGGCGUCGUCCCUAAGUCUGCGACUAAGCUCAGGAAAACCCCCUCCGCAGGAGCCUCCCUGGCAACGUUGAAUGUGACCGCCUCGCUCCGGUUUUUAGUGGGUGGGAAACCUGAGUGCUCCGCCCCUUUCGCUUGAAGGAGGCGGUGCAGCGGUCAUGACGCCAUCAAAGGGCGUCGGAGGAGUGAGCGCGACGCCAGUUGAAGAUGUUGGAGUCAGUUUUGGCUUUUGGUGGUCUGGUGCUCCUUCGGGACUCGGUGGAGUGGGAGGGGCGCAGUCUGCUGAAAGCACUUAUCAAGAAAUCUGCACUGUGUGGGGAGCAAGUCCAUAUUCUGGGCUGUGAAGUGAGCGAGCAAGAGUUUCGUGAAGGGUUUGACUCCAACAUCAACAGCCGGU